GAGUUUGAUCCUGGCUCGAGAGUGAACGCUGGACGGCAGGCCUAACACAUGCAAGUCGAGCGGCAGCGGGUCCUUCGGGAUGCCGGCGAGCGGCGGACGGGUGAGGAAUGCAUCGGAAUCUGCCUCGUUUGUGGGGGAUAACGUAGGGAAACUUACGCUAAUACCGCAUACGUCCUACGGGAGAAAGUGGGGGACCCUUCGGGCCUCACGCAGAGAGAUGAGCCGAUGCCGGAUUAGCUAGUUGGCGGGGUAAGGGCCCACCAAGGCGACGAUCCGUAGCUGGUCUGAGAGGAUGAUCAGCCACACUGGGACUGAGACACGGCCCAGACUCCUACGGGAGGCGAGCAGUGGGGAAUAUUGGACAAUGGGCGCAAGCCUGAUCCAGCCAUGCCGCGUGAGUGAAGAAGGCCUUCGGGUUGUAAAGCUCUUUUGUCCGGAAAGAAAUCCUGUCGGCUAAUACCCGGCGGGGAUGACGGUACCGGAAGAAUAAGCACCGGCUAACUUCGUG
rnacentral:rRNA from 1 species